rnacentral:lncRNA from 1 species
AUGCUGAGGAACAGCGCGUCCAGGAACAUGCACCAGGGAGAGGAGCCCAAGCUGCGCAACGGGAGCCUGGCGCGGGAGAGGAGGCACCUUGCUCUGCACAUCAACAGCCAGGAAAAAGUAAAGAGAUGUAACCGCUGCCAUAGCCACAGUGGAGGGCAAGCAGUUCGCAAAG